CGAACAUGCGAGUCUUCGCUGUGGUUUCUGCUAUUACUGCCGCCUGAUCAUCAACAUUUUGUCUCGCCCCCGAUAUUUUCAUUCUUCUUUGGCUGCCGUGUCUCUCUUCCUCUCCUCUCCCUGUCGCUUAACGCCGCUGCCUCCCGCCUGCGUCGUCUCUUACGACUCUCGCCGUCCUUUGUGCUCCGUGACUGGCUCGGCAGACGCCUUUUCAUAUUGUGUUUCUCUCCUCGCGGCUCUGCCGCCUGUGAACAUACUCAUACCUCUCUCCCUUGUGUUCUCCACCUCCCCUCACCUGCAGCUGCUCCCGUUUCGCUGCACCCCACCCGCCUUUAGAGCUGCAGUGGUGCUUCACCCUCUUUGCCUUUCUUCACGCGCACGGAUAUGUCUGCUCCGCACCACUGCCUCUCAGACUCGAGCUCGUGGUCCGUAAUGGCACCUGACGGGCCGGACACAAUGACGGAGGCCAGAGUUCUCGCCACCCCUCAGGGCAAGGCGGCGGACGGGCACCUGGGUUGUGCGACGCCGCAGGUGCGCGGCCGCGACGAGACCUUGCUCACGGAAGAUGUGUCGGCCACGGUGCUGCACGGCGAGACGAACGUCACCGCAUCUCUUGAAGAGGAAGAUGAUGGCGAGCGCCUUUCGCAGAGCUCUGCAGAGUCGUGGGUGGAGCUGAACAUGGCAGAGCAAGGGAAACCUUCCGAAACAGAAUGUGCUCCUGCGGAUGUGUCUGCAUCUACGCCGGUGGCCAAUGUAGCGCCGCCGGGCGUACCUUUCCUUGGUGCGUCGGAGGACGCGGUUGGCGAGCACUCGCUGGGUGUGCUUGAGACGCAAGAGGAGGCGGCACCGUCUCCGCCGGCCCCUCAGGAGCCUUCAUACACCCAGCUGAGGGCCACCGAGGAGGUGGAGGUGUCGGCGCUCAUUCCUCUUCUGAUGGGCGACGAGGCCGCCGCACGUGUUAGCGAGAUCGAAGCUGCCAUUAAGGAGGCAGAGCCAGAGCAGCUCUCUUCGUACUGGUCCGAAGGUGCCUGCAACAGCGACGACCUUGCCUCCAUGUACUAUGACGAGACUCAGAGAAGUCAGACGGUGAACGUGGACCCUGACAGCGUGAUCUCCGUCUCGGAGUCGAGGGUCGCUGCGAACCCUGCGCCUAUGGUGGACAGCACGGAGGUGCUGCGUCGUCGGGUCAUUCAGGAGGACUUCAUGCGAACCGAGCGAGGGUCGUCGGAUGUGCCUCCGGAGGAGCGCGUGGCCGUCUUUCAAGCUCUCUUCGGCGACUUUGGUAACGCACCGAUUUCCGCAGAGAAGUUCCGUGAAAUCAUGGUGCCGUAUAAACGCCACUGCGAGUGCCUCGGUGCUUCCUACGGCUUUCAUCACCAAGGUUGUCGGUUCUUUGCUGACUUCCCCGUCUCCCUGUAGGCUGCAGCGCUGAUUCGAGAGGGCAUACGUGUGCUCCUGCGAGCGGAUCAAAGCCAAGUUUCCCUGCCGGUGACGCACUUGCUCUCUUCAUCUCCUCUACUUAGUUCCUUUUUCUUCUUCGGCUCUCGCCGUCGUUAUCCGUAUGCCUUGAUCAUCCAAACGGUAGAAUGACGGUGUAUACACGCGCGCGAUAACCCCACAUAUGCGCGUGACUUGUUGGGGUAAAGAGUGCUCCGUUGCUUCGGCUCUAUGCUUCUCUUACUUGUGCUGCCCAGUUUAUGCUGUUUCCCAUGUUCCGCACUUUUCAUUCUCGACUUUUCCCUCUGCUUGUCGUUGGUGGUUCGAUGGUGUUCGUUGUGCGCGUGUGCAGCAGUGAAGAACGCGUUGUUCGUUCUUCGGUGUCGUAGCUCGCCAGUCUCUGUUUUGCCUUUGCGCCAUGAUUAGGUGACACUGCGAUACCGGCGAUACUGCCGGGUUCCACCCUCUCUGCUUCCUUUUUGGGUAUGUGAUGGGCCCUCUGGCAGCGCGUGUGGCUCUUGUGGUGUCGCUCCGUUUUUUUGUUGUUUGCCGUGUUGCCACGCGAGGGCGGGUGUGCUUUGUGUGUGCUGGUGCGUACGUGCGCCUGCACGCACUUCUUCUCACACGCCGUUGACAGCCCCAUCACCUCGCCUCCCCUACCCCGCCGGCUCUCCGCCCGCGUUGUUCUCCUGGUUCGCACGAGCGACAACAUAAAAACGCCGCCUCGAAAUUGAUGUCCUUUUUUUUCUGUGCGCUUCUGUCUACAUUCUCCAUCCAUCACAUCCCUGUAGAGGAGCGUGGGCAUUCAUGUUGUACCGCUUCCCCUCCGUCUUUCCUCUGCUCCUCGCUGAGCCUUCACCUUCGAAACGUGAGAGGAACGGAGGACACAUGCUCAUACGUGUGGUUGCCCGGUUGCAUGGUCCCUUGAUCGCACAUGAUUUUCACAACCGGGCCAACAGCAACAAAAAAGACGCACGGUGCAGCAGAGGUCGUCUGCGAUGACCCCGUUUCCCCCUGUUCGUUCUGACCGUUUCUUUAUAUCUUUUCUUUGCUGUCUUGUGUUUCAAACAUACGCGCAAGCGCCCGUGGCCGGUUGAUGGACGUCUUUAUUGCACAGAGGCAGGGCGUCGUUGAAUAAGGGGAUCAGCAGCUGACACGGCAGUUGAAAAAGGAGGUGCUGCCCUUCCCCUCCCACAGAGCUACGUCUUGGGGUCUCUUCGACGCAAGUCGAACAUGGAGCUUGUUGAGGGGAAGCUCCUUGUCGCGCAGGCAGCCGUGCACACGCUCACCGGUCGCUCAUGGCCUUCCGCAUACCUCUGUCGCACCCGCACGCUCGUGAAGUGCUGGCUUGAUCGACUCAAAAGAUGAGCGAAAGGGAGCGGGUGGCUGGCGCGGUUUUACACGGAGGCCCGGCGCUGCACCGCAAAUAUUCCUCAAGGUUGCUUUCCUUUCUUUGCACGCCUCCGUUUUGUUUUUGCUACCGCACACCAUCACCCGGACGACACGUAAAG
rnacentral:misc_RNA from 1 species